AUUGAACGCUGGCGGCAGGCCUAACACAUGCAAGUCGAACGAGUGGCGGACGGGUGAGUAAUGUCUGGGAAACUGCCCGAUGGAGGGGGAUAACUACUGGAAACGGUAGCUAAUACCGCAUACCAUCGGAUGUGCCCAGAUGGGAUUAGCUAGUAGGUGGGGUAACGGCUCACCUAGGCGACGAUCCCUAGCUGGUCUGAGAGGAUGACCAGCAACACGGGAACGGAGACAGGGUCAGGACUCCUACGGGAGGCAGCAUUGGGGAAUAUUGCAAAAUGGGGGCAAUCCUGAUGCAGCCAUGCCGCGUGGUUGAGGAAGGCCUUCGGGUUGUAAAGUACUUUCAGCGAGGAGGCGUUACUCGCAGAAGAAGCACCGGCUAACUCCGUGCCAGCAGCCGCGGUAAUUC
rnacentral:rRNA from 1 species